AAAGGUAACGGAGGCGCUCAAAGGUUCCCUCAGAAUGGUUGGAAAUCAUUCACAGAGUGUAAAGGCAUAAGGGAGCUUGACUGCGAGACCUACAAGUCGAGCAGGGUCGAAAGACGGACUUAGUGAUCCGGUGGUUCCGCAUGGAAGGGCCAUCGCUCAACGGAUAAAAGCUACCCCGGGGAUAACAGGCUUAUCUCCCCCAAGAGUUCACAUCGACGGGGAGGUUUGGCACCUCGAUGUCGGCUCAUCGCAUCCUGGGGCUGUAGUCGGU
rnacentral:rRNA from 1 species